rnacentral:lncRNA from 1 species
AGCUUUGGUGCUGAAAUGGAGUUCUGAUAUCACCGAUUCAAGAAAUGAAAGGAUUGAAAAUGAUGUAUUAGACAUGCUGCAACCUCAUCAGGGGCUGAAAGAGCUGACAAUCAACUCUUAUUCUUCCACAGAGUUUCCAUCUUGGGUUGGAGAUCCUUCCUUCUCUAACAUGGUGCUUCUAAGUUUGGAGAAUUGUGAAAACUGCACAUCCGUGCCAGCUCUUGGGCUUUUAAAAUCGCUCAAGGACCUUUCCAUCACUGGGAUGAGUGGACUGCAGAGCAUAGGUCGUGAGAUUUACGGGGAAUGCUGCUCAAAUCCUUUUCCUUCACUGGAGACUCUUUAUUUCAAAGACAUGCCUGGAUGGAACUACUGGCAUGCCAACGGCGAAGAACAAGUUGAAGUUUUCCCUCGCCUGCAUAAGCUUUCUCUCUUGAAUUGUUCUCGGGUAUUGGGAAGAUUGCUAUAUUAUCUUCCUUCAUUGAAAGAGCUAGUUAUUUGUGAAUCCAAGUGCUUGUCGGUUUCUAUUUCAAGUUUUCCGAUGCUCCGUAAUUUAGAUGUUGAUGGAUGCAAGGAAUUAAUCUGCAGAAGCACGACUCAGUUUAGCUCACUCAACUCCGUGGUUCUUUCAUGCAUUUCAAAUUUCAGUUUUCUAACUUUGGGCUUCAUGCAAGGGUUGGCAGAAUUUAAGAAUUUAAAGAUUACUGGUUGCCAGGAGAUCACAGAUUUUUGGCAAAAUGGAGUCAGAUUACUACAACAUCUGAGUUCCUUACGUUAUUUGAAAAUCAGAAGUUGUUCCAGACUUGUUUCCUUUGGUGCAGAGGAGGAAGGACAAGAGCUGAAACUCGGCUUGCCUUGCUCUCUUGAAAUGCUGAAGUUAAUUGAUUGCGAAAGCCUUCAGCAACCAUUAAUUUUGCAUGGUCUCAGAUCCCUUGAAGAGCUACAUAUUGAAAAGUGUGCAGGGCUGGUUUCCUUUGUUCAAACCACUUUGCCUUGCACUCUUAAAAGGCUAUGCAUCAGUUACUGUGAUAAUUUGCAGUAUUUGCUGGAGGAGGAAAAGGAUGCCAACAUUAGCAGCACAUCUCUUCUUGAGUACUUGGAUAUCAGGAAUUGUCCAUCUCUCAAGUGCUUAUUGUCAAGAAGAAAAUUACCUGCUCCUCUUAGACAGCUUGUGAUUUGAGACUGUCCAGAACUGGGUUCAAUAGCUGAGACAUUUUGCUACAUGUCUCCUGAACAAAUCGAGAUCAAAUAUUGUGGAAAACUCGCUUGCUUACCUGAGGGUCUGAACAUGCUCAGUCAUCUUCAGGAGAACACUAUAUGUAACUGUUCAAGUAUACUUUCGUUCCCUGAAGGAGGGUUUCCUGCCACCAGUCUGCGAAAGCUCUACAUGGGCUGGUGCGAGAAGCUCAAGGCUCUGCCGGAAAGAUUGCGAAGUCUCACCUCUCUUGUAGAGUUGGAUAUUCAUACACGCCCGAGCUUUGUGUCUUUCCCACAAGAGGGUUUCCCAACAAACUUGACAUCACUUCUGAUCACAAAUCUCAACUUCUGUAAGCCUCUCUUAGACUGGGGAUUACACAGGCUUGCCUCUCUUACUCGCCUCUUCAUUACAGCCGGAUGUGCACAUAUUUUAUCUUUUCCAUGUGAGGAGACAGGAAUGAUGCUGUCAACUUCUCUAUCCAGCAUGUCCAUUGUAAAUUUCCCGAAUCUCCAAUAAUUAUCCUCCAAUGGUUUCCAGAACCUCACCUUCCUUCAAGAGCUUUGGAUCUCUGAUUGCCCAAUGCUCAAAUCCCUACCAGAAAAUGGCUUGCCUUCCUCACUUUUGGAACUAUACAUCCAUGAUUGUCCUCUACUAAAACAGAAGUGCAAAAAGGAUACAGGGAAAGAUAGCCCACAUCCCUUGUGUUUAUAUUGAUAACAGCUUCAUUUAUGAUUCAGAGGAUGAAGAAUGAAUUCCAUUUCAUCUCAGAAGAAAGCAACAGCAUAGAAGCUGAUAUUUGCUUCCUCCUAUUCUUGUAUUCGACUCAGUAUGUCAGUUGCUGGAAGUACACAUAUUUAUCAGCAUUAAGCUAUCAUUUUCUUCCAUGAUGAUAAAUGUCAAUUAAACCUCAAGAAAUUGAACAGAAAAGAGUAUAAGAUGAUGAAAAAAUGGAUGGAAUCCAUUUUUAUCUUGUUUUAUAUACUCUGAAAUUUUAAGUAGAUAUUUCCCUGUAUUUGAAAAUUGAUACCAGACUUUAUUCUUUCAUUGUCCAAAAAACAGGCACUCAGAGCCUGCUAGCAUAAUAUGAAGAUCAAUCAUGUAAAUGGCAGAAUAAUGAUUGUCUAAUACUGAUGUAAAAAAAAAAAAGGGGGUUUUCCAGAUCUUCUGAGCUCCUAUAAGUUGAUAUUGGCCAUCUCAAUUAUCUUUGUGAGCCAUAAGUCCUGGUCCUGCCAGUGGUUUUCCAGAUAUGAAAAUAUUCAGAAGGAAAUGCAGAUGCUUCCUAGUUCUCAUCUCCAUUCCAUAAUCUUGGAUUUUCAUGCCUCUAGUCCGUAGAUGCCCUACUUUUGCAGUCAUGAACUUUCGGUGUUGGCUGGUAAAAGUAUCUAUUGCUACAUGGAUGUUAAAGGUUACUCUAACUCUGCAAUGACUGAAGUUGGGGCAGACUAAUGCAUGAAGAGUUUUGUCAUUUGUAUUGAUCCAUUACUGUGAAGGCACAAAGAAUUUCGUGGACUCUGUUAAUGGGCUUGUAAGCACUAGGCAUGUGUAUUUAGGUCAAGAUUUUUAAUUUCGUUUUGGUAAGUGUUUUGUUUUUUCAAUUGGAAAGAAAUAUUUUGAUUUUAGAGUGUUUCAGUGUGCCAUUUCAUGGUUAUAUUAUUCAUAUAUAUAUAAUUCAACAAACAUAAUUCAAAUUCAAAAUAAAUUAAUUAUAAAUGAUGCAAUACAAACACAAUGUCAAACAAAUAUAAUUUUAAAAUUUAAAUAUUUCUAAAUAGUCAAGAUUAAAUAGAACUUUAACUUAAAGUAAUUCAAAUUAAACAAAAUAUUAAUUUGAUUUAAUGGCUUUUCAAAUCCGGAACGAAACAUGUGAAAUGAAACUGGAAGAUUCCGACCGAAAUUUAUCUGAAAAAUCCGGAACGGACCGAGAUUUAAAAUGAGAUGAAAAUUGUUCUAUUUUAUUCUUUUUUUUUUAAUUAGUAUGAAAUGUUUCGGCCAUUCCGGAUAAAACGAAACAGAAUUAACAAUCUUAGUUUAGGCAGACUAUUUAUAGUUUUGAAGUAGAAAAGAUAAAGAUGAGAUAUUAUUAGCAUAUAAAUUUAUUUUAUGAUAAAAAUGUCUUUGUCUGUGUUAAAAUAAAAAAAAUAUAUAUUUUUAUCUUUAUAUUUUUAAUUAAACAUGUUUUUAUCUAUUUUUAUAUUUGUAUAUUAAAAACAUACUUGUCUUAGCUAGAACCGCUUAAAAAAAAUCAACUCUGAACCAAUCCAAAUGUCAAGGAGUAUUGCGAGUGAAGAUUUAUUGGCUGAGAAGAAAAUAUCUUCUCAUAUGGAUAUUUAAAGAGUAAUUUUUUUUUUUUUUUGGCUUUAAAAUCUCACUUUUUAUCAACCUAUGAGCCUAAUUCAACCAAAUUAAAUUGGAAUUUGUUUUUCAAAAAGUGCUUGAGCUAGUUGCUUGAACUUUUUGAAUGGUCCCUGAAGAUCAGAAUAGAUAAUACUCAAAGAAUAUGGUAUCUGACUUGGCUUCAUUCCUUUAAAGUUUUGUUCUUUGUUUCCUGAAUGGCUGCUUGAUUUCUUCUAUUAUUAUAUACCUCAAAAUGGAAUGUUCUUCCACCUAAAUAAAAGCAUAGAGUAGCCUAGUUUUGUUGAUCUUUCUAUUAAAAGAAUACAGAAAUGAAGAUAUUUUUUCAUAUCAAAUAACCUUCUCAACAUUAAAAAUAUAAAAAAUCAUACCAUUAGGUAUAAUUUUAAAAAUUAAAAUGUUGAUCUUAUACAUAGUUUUGUUAGAUAUAACGAAGAUAAUAAAAUUCGAGCUUCUAAACGUUUGCUUGUUAAAAAAUUAUCUCAAUACAAAAGCAUAAACGGCUAGUUAAGGCUCUAUGAAUGAUUUCAUACGAUUCUCUGGCACUUUAUACCUAAAGAAAAUUAUACUAUUCUAAUGUUUUGGUAAGGAGGACCUGUUUAUGCAUUGCUUUGGUCGGUAAUUGGAAUAUCUUCCUUGCUUUCACAUCAAUAGAUGGUUUUAAAUGUUCUCUUUUCUUUUAUAGGGUUUUUUUUCCCCUUUGUGGUCCAUUAGGGUAACAAUUGUCUCAGUUUGAGCUGCAAUGCAAAGAUAAAGCAGUGUAGCCAAAGCUAGACUGGUUGUUGUGUACAGGUUGCGAGUUCAACAAGCUGAACGGUUGCCUUGAGAUGAGUUAAGAUCCUGCCCUUAACUUCUCCUGUUAGGACUAUUUCAGGUCCAAAGAUGAAAUGGAAAUGGCUAAAGUAUUUGACAUUCUAACCGAGAAUUGACAGACAAGAACUAGUUUACUGCUUCAGACUGCUUGAAAAACUCCAGGGAAAUAUAAUAGUACUAAAGUGGAAACUGCAGGGGAUAAAAAACAGAAGAAAUUGAUGGUUUUAGUUUCUUUCUCUGACUUGCAUCUCCUAGCAAAAGAAACUUGAAGAAAAGGGAAUGGAAAUUGCUUGCCAGUUCCAUGGAGUAGAUUCUACUGUGGAAUCUUAAUUGUGGAGGUUACUGACAAAUGAAAACUUACCAACUAUUCAAAAGGGCAAAAAAAAAAAACCUAGCAAUUUGUAUCAUCUGAUGUUUUAAAAUUCAGAAAUGCUGGGCAAGUAGAUAGGACAUGGUUCUGAACAAAACCUGAUUGGAUGGAACCAUGCCAGCUUCACUCUUGAAUCCUCAUAGGCUCCAUUUCUUUCGGUGGAGAAUGGAAAAGGGGGGGAAAGGAGAGAUGACCAUAUCCAGCCUUCUAGACAAUGCAUGAUACAUUUUGGCAUGUUACUGUCUUUGAUAUAAAAAAAAAAUGAAAACAAUGGAGAUAAAAGAGUAUACGUUCCCUAUCUUUUCUAUUUUGAAAUGAUUGAAAUCCACUCCAAACCUAUCUCAAAUAUGUUUUUGUCUAUUUUUCUCCAGCCAAACAAGUUAUUAUCCCUUGUUUUGCAAAAUGAUCAAUAUCGUUAAUACUGUAAAGUGCUUAGAUAAUCUGUUUGUGUAGUUUGCCNNNNNNNNNNNNNNNNNNNNNNNNNNNNNNNNNNNNNNNNNNNNNNNNNNNNNNNNNNNNNNNNNNNNNNNNNNNNNNNNNNNNNNNNNNNNNNNNNNNNCGAAAAAAAGCUUGGAUUUCAGGCUGCAGCAGAUCAGGAAAAGUGUGACGAGAAAACGCACCUAAAUAAAUCAUCUUGUUGAAAUUAGUAACAACAGCAGGCAGAUGCCUAAACAACGAGAUCUGUGUUUGUUUCGAAUCCUUGAAAUGGUUGUCGGCUUUCGGAAAAAAAUGUUAAUACAGGGAAAAUUAACAAUCUACAUUGAUCUAUAACAAGGAUGAAAAGUACAAGCAAAUAAGGUAAGGAUUCCUUGGCUUAUGUAAAUCAAACUCAUUGUUGAAAAAGGAUGUAAGAAACAUAAGAACAUAUCUUACGGUUCUUUUCCUGUGUUGGUGGGGUAGCAAUGUCAUGUUCGUCUGUGACAAUGCCAUGUUCUGUGGUAUUUGUCCCAAAGCUCAACUCCUUAAGCUUAAUUUUGUCCUUGGCAAAACACAGAUUCCAAAUUAGGGAUUCUUAACUCUAAUUAACCUCUGAAAUUAUGCAGAUCAACCAUGUAAAUGACAAAAUAAAUAUUUGUUUCAUUGUGCUGCAGGUUAACUGGAAGCCUUGAAUUAAGCAAGGGAAGAACGAAGGGGAAAGAGGUUUGAGAAGGGAGAAGAAGGUUAUCACGUCCAGAACGUGUUGAGAGAAAGAGAGAACAGGGAAUAGAGUUUGAGAAUUCUGUUGUAAAAUUUCCACACCUUUCUGUUACAAUGAUUAGGGAAUUUAAAGACAAUAUUGUAAAUGCCAGCGUGGCAUCACUACGUGGCUGUACCAGCUGGCCUACUAGAAUAUAAAAUGAAGCUGCACAAAAACGCAGCCGUUUGGUUCCAUUUAUUUAAAAAUCAAAAUCCUGUUUCACUUUCCCCUUUGCUCGUUUGUGCCUUCUUUCCUUCUGUUCGUGACAAUGCCCCGUCCAUGAAAUCAACCUUGUCCUCAAGGUGGAAUUGAGGGAAUCGCCACUCAAACUCCUCAGCAUCCUCCCAGGUUGCUUCUGUCAAAGGUAAGUUUUUCCAUAGAAUCAAAAACUGAGUUGAUGCUGUAUUUCCCUUUUUGAUCAUUCGUCUCUCAACAAUUUUCUGUGGUUGUAGCAGGGGUUGUGCAGAGACAAUGGGGAGAUCGGACUGCACCACAUGGUUGCCUACAUGCUUCUUUAAUUGGGAAACGUGAAAGACGGGGUGGAUCACGGCAGUAGCAGGUAAUUGUAGUUUAUAUGCCACUGUUCCAAUUUUCUUGAUGAUUGUGUAGGGGCCAUAAUACUUUGCUGAUAAUUUGUAAGAGGGUCGCCUGUGAACCGAUUUCUGUCGAUACGGUUGUAGUUUCAGAUAGACUAAGUCACCCUCAGAAAACAUCCUUUCACUUCUUUUCUUGUUGGCUUGCUGUGUCAUUCGGUUUUGUGCUUGCAAUAAAUUGCUCCUGAUGAGUUUGAACAUGUCUUCUCUUUGGGUUAAAUACUGGUCCACAGCCUCCACGGGUGAAUCCUUAGGCGUAUAGGGAAUGUGAACUGGAGGCCCCAUUCCAUAUAAGAUCUCGUAGGGUGUCUUCUUAGUAGAGGAGUGGUAGUUUGUAUUGUACCACCAUUCACAGGAGCUCAGCCAGCGUCCCCAUUGUGCAGGGAUGGUUCCUGUCAUGCAUCUUAGGUAGCCCUCGAUGCAUUUAUUGACCACUUCUGUCUGUCCAUCAGACUGUGGAUGAUAGGCUGUAGAGUAUUGCAAAUUGACCCCCUGCUGUUUGAAUAACUCCUUCCAAAACUGGCUGAGAAAAAUGCUGUCUCUGUCACUCACAAUUGUUGCUGGCAUCCUAUGCAAUUUAUACACAUUUUCCAUAAAGACCUUGGCUACUGUAAUGGCAGAGUAGGGGUGGGUGAGGGCCAUAAGAUGGGCAUACUUACUAAACCUGUCGACCACCACAAAAAUGACUUCCUUCCCUUCUGAUUUUGGCAGUCCCUCAAUAAAAUCCAUGCUAAUAUCUAUAAAAGGAGCAUGUGGUACUGGUAAUGGUUGCAGUAGACCUGGAGGCUUGACAUUUUCCCCCUUGUUCUGUUGACAAACUGGACAUUCCCUGACGUAUUGCCUCACCAGCUUUUGGAGUUUCUUCCAAUAGAACACCUGCCCUAAUUUUUUUGAAGUAACCGUAGCUCCUGAAUGCCCCCCUACUGCAGAGUCAUGAUAGAGUUUGAUAAUUUGAUGAUGUAAGUUCGGUGCUUGUCCCACUACCACCUUCCCCUUUCGAAUGAGAGUGUUAUUAACCCAUGAGUAGUUGGAGUGUGAGCUAGCAUCCUUGGUGAGGUCUGCUAUAAGCUGUCUCAGGUUGUGAUCAGUGUCCCAAGUCUUCUUAAUGUCUUCCAUGAGAGAGGUGGAAAUGGAUGAAAGGGUUAAUGCACCCAACUCAUUGUGAGAAAUUCUGGAGAGGGCGUCUGCAGCUAGAUUGUCUUUACCCCUUCUAUAUUCAAUUUCAUAAUCAAAACCCAAUAGCUUAGUUAGCCAUACCUGUUGGGAAACAUGUGUAGUCUUCUGGUCUAGCAGGAAUUUGAGGCUGGAGUGGUCUGUCCUGAUAAGAAACCUUCUGCCCCAUAAGUAGUGCUUCCAUUUUGUAACAGCAAAAACAAUGGCCAGCAACUCCCUCUCAUAAGUGGACAGGGCUAGCUGUCUAGGACCUAAGGCUUUGCUUACAAAUGCAAUGGGGUGUCCUUCUUGCAUCAGUACCCCCCCUAUACCCACUCCUGAAGCAUCUGUUUCUACUACAAAUGUUUUGUCAAAAUUAGGCAGGGCUAGCACAGGGGGUUGGGACAUUGCGGCUUGGAGCUGUUUGAAGGCCAAGGUGGCUGUGUUUGUCCAUUUAAAGGAGUCUUUUUGUAGUAGCUGAGUAAGGGGUCUGCAAAUAGUUCCAUAACCUUGCACAAACUUUCUAUAAUACCCUGUUAAGCCUAGGAAACUUCUAAGUUGUUUGAUGGUUGUAGGUAUGGGCCAUUGCAAGAUAGCAGUAACCUUGUGUGGGUCUGUUGCUACUCCCUCUUUGGUGAUUACAUGUCCCAAGUAUUCCAUCUGUCGUGUCCCAAACACACACUUACUUUCCUUGGCUACUAAUUGAUGGGUACAUAGCAAUUCAAAUACCAAUCUAAGGUGUUGUAAGUGGUCGGCCAUGGUUUUACUGUAAACCAAUAUAUCAUCAAAGAAAACUAAAAUAAACUUCCUUAAAUGAGCUCGAAAAAUAUCAUUCAUUAAACUUUGGAAGGUGGCCGGUGCAUUAGAUAAGCCAAAGGGCAUGACUAGGAACUCAUAGUGGCCAUUAUGUGUUCUAAAGGCUGUUUUAAAAACAUCUUCUGAGACCAUGCGAAUCUGAUGGUAACCUGCCCUUAGAUCAAUUUUCGAAAAGAUGGCAGCCCCUUCUAGUUCUUCUAGCAGUUCAUCUAUUAUAGGAAUAGGGUACUUAUCUUUGAUAGUGAUCUUGUUGAGGGCUCUAAAAUCAACACAAAAUCGCCAAGUCUGAUCCUUCUUUUUCACAAGCACCACUAGAGAGGCAAAGGGACUGUUGCUGGGCUGCACUAUGCCUGCCUCCAGCAUUUCAGCCACUAGAGUCUCUAGAGUGUCCUUUUGUAAGCCUGAGUAUCUGUAGGAUCUUAAAUUGACAGCCUGGCUCUCGUCCUUCAGGGGUAUUUUGUGAUCAUGUCUCCUAGCUGGGGGCAACCCUUGGGGAUCACAAAAAAUAUGCUGGUAGGCUGUUAGUAGAGUCUGUAAUGGUGAGUCCUCAUUGCCUUCCCCAGCAUGUGGUAUUCCCUGAGCAGGGUUUACCAAUUCAGCCUUUCCCACCACUCUCAAGCUGCAAAGCCUGACUUCAGAUAAUAAGGUUUCAGUGCUAAGCAGUCCAUUUAGUUCCUCUAGGCGUAUAGAUUGAGCAAUUCUAGGAUUUUCUCCUCUUAAAGUUACUUCUCUGUUCUGCCACCAAAAGGAUACCCAUCUAUCUUCAUAGUUGGACAAUACAUUUCCUAGCAGCUUCAACCAUUGGAUUCCCAAAAUCAUAUCAUAGUUUUGUAACUUCAUAACAUAUAUGUCUGCCUGAAACUGAACUCCUUGCAUCUUCCACUGCAGGUUCUUACAUACUGAAGUGCAAGACAUGGUGCCACCAUUAGCUGCCUCCACCACCAUAGGCUUUAUGGUUGUCGUGGGGCAUUCAAGUUUGUCCAUCAGAUCAGCAUGAAUGAAGUUGUGAGUACUGCCCGAAUCAAUCAAGAUUAAGAUGGGACAUUUGUCUAUCUUUCCCCAUACCUUAAUGGUUUGACAUCCUGCUGUGCCAUGGAUUGCUUGGAGAGAUAGAUGAGGGGUGAGAUUUUCUGUAUUCCUUGCCUCCAUGGUUUCCUCUUCUUCUGAUGAAUUAUCUCCAUCAUCCUCUACUAUACAGAGGGAAUAUAGCUUGCGAUUUCUGCAUCUAUGCCCUGGUACGAACUUAUCAUCACACCAAAAGCAUAGGCCCUUGGCUCUUCUUUCAUCCAUUUCUUUGGUUCUGAUAGGUCUGGCAGGUUUGUGGUUAGGGUAUACAUUAUUAUUGUUGAAGGGUGGGUUGGUAGGCGUAGGCAACAAGGCUGGUGGGGAAGGUUUUGAAGGAUUGAAGGGGUGACUGGGGUUGGUCUUGUAAGUGCUGGCAGGAUAUGUAAAUUUUGCAGGCUGGGAGUUGGAACUUGCCAGGCUAUGUUGUUUUGGGUAAUGAGGGGUGAUUUUUCGGUAUGUGAGGGUAUUGUUGUGCAACCUAGCUAGGUUGUAAGCUUGUUUGAGUGAUUUUGGCUCGAACAUUUUUACUAGGUUCUUGAUUUCUAUCUCCAAGCCUCCUAGGAAGAACACCAAGGCCUGCUUCUCUGAGAUUUGUGCUCUAUUCCAUAGCAUAUCAAAGUCCCUGAUAUAACCUUCCAAGUCUCCUUCCUGCUUGUGCUCAGUGAGUUCUUCUAAGGGGUCCUUUUGACCUCCAAAUCGACAGCACAAUGCAUCCACAUAUUCUGCCCAUGUAACCUCAUGUCCUUCUAGGUUUCUGGUAUAAUUCUGAUGCCAGUAAAGUGCCAAGCCAUCCAAAUAAUAUGAAGCUAGUUUCAGUUUGUCAGUCUCAGGAAUUUCUUCUAAGUCGAAAUACUGGUUGCAUUUGUACAACCAUUUAUGCACUUCUUCCCCUUCAAAAGAAGGGAAAUCUCGCCGGGGUCUGCGUGACCUGUAGGUAGGUGGUCCUUCUCCUGUCCAAUCUUGGUUGCUGGCCGGAGCAGGGUGUUGGGGCAUUCGAACAUGCUGGGAGGAACUUGCUUCACCCGCCAAGGUUUGCAGGGUUUGUUUAAUAGAGAUUUGUUGAUUUGCCAUUUCCUUCAUCAUGGCUUUCAGCUGGGCUAGGUCAUCUGACUGAGCGUGCAACUUGACUUCUAUUCCAUUGACUCUUUGAUUAGCAGCUUCCAAAGAAUCAUCCAUUCUUCUUACAUCUUGGGAUCUAGUUUCUGGUGCCAUUUGUUGAAUCCAAAGAUGAUGGCUCUGAUACCAAUUUGCUGCAGGUUAACUGGAAGCCUUGAAUUAAGCAAGGGAAGAACGAAGGGGAAAGAGGUUUGAGAAGGGAGAAGAAGGUUAUCACGUCCAGAACGUGUUUGAGAGAAAGAGAGAACAGGGAAUAGAGUUUGAGAAUUCUGUUGUAAAAUUUCCACACCUUUCUGUUGCAAUGAUUAGGGAAUUUAAAGACAAUAUUGUAAAUGCCAGCGUGGCAUCACUACGUGGCUGUACCAGCUGGCCUACUAGAAUAUAAAAUGAAGCUGCACAAAAACGCAGCCGUUUGGUUCCAUUUAUUUAAAAAUCAAAAUCCUGUUUCACUUUCCCCUUUGCUCGUUUGUGCCUUCUUUCCUUCUGUUCGUGACAAUCUCAAUGGAAACAAGGACUUCAAUGAGGCAGAACUUCUUGCCAUACAAAAGCCCUCCAACUUUUUGCUGGAUUCCAUGGAGAAAAAGCUGAAACUGUUUUUAAUACAUAAUGGAUUUGCUUCAAGACUUCACGCAAAGCAACUACAAGUUCUCCGCACUACUCUUAUAUUGCAGAUUGUUCUUUUGUUUAGACUGUGUAUGGAUUUCAUUUUUACCUUGAGCUUCUGCUCUGCUCAUUUUCUAUUUUUCCUGAUCAAUCAGAAGUUUCUCUAUGGAUCUGGAACUAUAUACUGUUCCUAACUUAAUAAACUUGUACAAGAUCAUUAAAAAAAAGGGAGGGAGCAAGUACUUCCAAGACUAACCAAGACAAUGAACAUGCAUGCUUGUUGAUAAAGAAUAAUAUAAAAUUAAAAUUAUAUCUCAGAAUCUCGUUUAAAAACUUCCUUUAUUUUUUAACAUGAUAACAAAGUCCAAGUCUUGUUGACCAAAAUUAAAAUAGUAGCAGUAACUAAUCCAUCAGGAAUUCAAAUCUCACAAUUGUAAUCUCAUUGUUUUACCCUCACCUAAAGUGACUAGAUGAUAACAUGCUCGUUUGCUUGAGAUGGUAGCAGAUAAAAUGCUCGUUCGCUUCGUGAAUUAUUCCCAAAAGUUUCAAACUUGUAAAAUCUUCAACUUCUAACCGAAAUUUCUCUAAUAUGAAUAAUCCGGGUGGCAUGUCCGGAGAGCAAAACUAAUAUGAUUUUUUAAAAUCAAGCUCCUGUCAAAUGGCAGGGCUCUACUUUUGUUGCCAUGAAAGCAUACAAGAAGCUAGUUAUGGAAUCUGAUGGGAAGAAGAAAAUCAAACAACACUUGAAGAUUGUGUUUAAGUAUGGUAAAUGGAGAGAUGAUGAUGGAAUACUGAUCUACUGGCAGAGACUUGUAUAAUUGUUCUCAAAGAACGAUCAAUUGAAGAGUUGCAUUGCAGUAUAUGACAUUUUUUAAGGCACGAGUGGUACAAUUGUGGAGGAAUUUUGUGUCUCUAUGGGACUACUAAUUUCUCAGGCUAGCUAUAACCCAUGGAAAGGAAAGAUUUUCUCAUUUAUUGAUUAAUCUAAGCUCUGCAUGAUCAAUGGUGACAACCUUAUAUGAAAAUCCGAGUUUAUUAGAGAACUGGAUUCCAGCGAGGGAUCAAGUUUUACAAAGAUUUAUGACCGGGUAUUACAGUUUGUAAUGACAUAAAGUAGUGAUAGGAUGGUAAAGAGGGUUUUUGUCUUCACAAAUCUGGAUUUUAGAGAUUCAACGAAGGAAAAAUAGGCAGCAGAAUACAGAGGGGCAUGGAAGAGCUAUAGGAAGAGAGGGUUCAAAACUGUACCUGAGAUUGUUUUUUGGAAUCCUAAGGGUUGCAAACCUAAUCGUAAAGUAAUUGAUAGUCAAGUUGAUCACCACCAUAGAGGGAUAGCAGUGGUUAAAGGGUUUUUUUGUAAAAAAAAAAAACUUAUCAAGUUCUUGAUGGGAGAUGAUCAUUCUACAAAUGCUUACACACAGCAAGAGGAGAAGUUGACAGAGAAGAGCUUGGUUCCAGAGAUGGAUGAGAUUUUAAGCUCUGCAACUAGCCGGGAUGAAUUCAAGAAUCUAAGUGUAAUGGAUUGAUGAUGUGCAAAUGAAUUGAACAAUAUGUUUGUAGUAGCUCAAAAUUUCUCUUCUAUUCAAGUUUAAGUACUGAGCUUUGCACUAAUCUUUUCUCUCCUAGCUUGGCUAAUUAUUUUCUCUAUUUGCUAUACUGAAACUUAGGCAUUUUUUGUCUGGUUUGUAUCAAUUGAAAAGAAUUAACCAAAAGUUUACACUUUCUUAUGAAAUAUAUCACAUAAAGAAAGGACAUUGAGAACGGUGAUGACGGGUCCUGCUAGGGACUACAAAAAUGUGUACUGGAAUGAUACAUGAAUAAUGAUCAACCAGGAGUAAUUUCUGACAAAUUAAUCAAAUAACUACAAAGAAAAACCAAAUUGGAAUCUACAAGAUUUGCCAAGAAAGCUAGUUUUUGAAGCAUUGGAAACCAGAUUUUGAUGUUUUCAGAAAAACUACGCGCAGGAAAACAGUGAGCAGGAACAGUAUCCAAAUGAAAAUUCUCUGGCUACCUACCCAAUUACUCAUUAAAAGCCUUAACUCUCUGAUUCAGCUGGUUUCCAAUGACAUCUGUUCUCAUUUUCUCCGCACAAUAAAUGGCAAGCACUCUCCUCUAACUAUAAGGCUACAAGUGUUUUUUUUUAUGUCACAUUAUCUGUCAUCUUAAUUCUGUCAUUGGAAAACAGAGACACCAUUAAUAGUUGCUUGCAUUUGCAGCAUCGAUCACAUGGAAGUAACUAGGAGGAGCCUGGAAGUAAAUGGAAGGUAUAAUUGCUUGCGUACAAGACUGUCCAGCAAGUAAUUAAAGCCAGACAAUACUUUAAUUUGGUUGGUAGUAAAUUUGGACUUUAUUAUUUGUGAUUUGAACGAUUUGUCCACCACGACAUGGAAUCACUCUUGACUUUUGUUACUCAAAACAUUAAAUUAUAGUGGUAGAAAUAGAGUCAAUAUCUACCAUCGUGUUAUAUAUGGUGGAAGCAAAGGUGAAAUUGCACUCAAGACUCCAAACGAGUGUAAUUUAAUAGAGAAUUAUUUUGAUUUUUUUAUAUUUUUAAUUUAUUUUGAUAUAUUAAUAUAUAAAAUAUUCUUUAAAAAAUAAAAAAUAUAUUAUUCUACUAUAUUUUCAAGCAAAAAAAUAUUAAAAAAUAACAGCUACAUACCACCCUCUCAAACUUUAAUUUUUUAUAUAGGUUCAUCCCCUUUUCUUAAAUUCAAAUUAAAAUAAUAAUAAUAAAGUCAUGGAGAAAGAAAUUUAUGCCAACGACAUGAAAAAUCUAAAUAACCAUUAUUAAAGAGCUCUCUCUCUCUUCCUCUCUUUACAUUCAAGCACCUUAUUUGCUGUUGAGCUUCAUGUGUAUAUACAACUAUUAUAUAUGAAGUACAGGACACUACUCCUAAUUAAUUACUUUCGGUGAGUUUGUUGAUAUAUGGAGAUCAAUAUUUAAUUCAAAAAUUAUAUAUAUAUAUAUAUAUAUAUAUAUAUAUAUAUAUAUAUAUAUAUAUAUUAACCAGAAAAAGAAUACGACAAAAAGAAGAAGAAGAAGAAGAGAUCCUUCCAAGAAAUUUGAAGCUAACCCUAAUCUAAAUUUCUUGGUCAUAUCCAACCCUAAUCCAUAGUCACAGAUACGGGUCCAAAAUGUAGGGUUUUUUUGUAUAAUAAUUUUUGUGGUCAUGGUCUAAAAUUCUACGUCGAAAGUCAGUAAAAAGGAUCAUUUCUAAUGUCCUAUUACAACUAAACAAUGAAUUAAAUAAGCUUGAUUUUGUAGACUCCAAGGAUCAAAGUCUGCUAGAACAAAAAAAGAAAAAUAACCAUAAAAAAAAACAUUUUAAAAAAAUUGUAAAGCAACAAGAAAGUUAAAAAAAGUAAAUAUAUAUAUAUAUAUAUACACACACUCGAAAAGAACUGGAAGUUGCUUAUAUAAUAGUGUAACAGAUAGAGAAAGAGCGUUAACGUGGAGUGUACACUGAAAGCAAAAACCGAAAAGCUUCCUGUCAUUCACACUUCGUCUUCACGCGGUAUCUCUUUUCUCUUUGAAUGAAAAAAAAAGGGGCCAUAUAUUUAUUUCCACAGAAACAGAGAAACCCAAUAAGGGAAAAGCAAAAAAGACACCACCACAAAAUUCUAGAACCAAAGAAACAAAGAACAACGAGAACGGGAGCAUUCGAAGUUGUUAAAGCAGAUGAUGUUGAGAUCGUGGUACAGACCAUUAGAGAGGUGUUUUGGUCGGGUAGCAGGUGGUGGUGGCGGUGAUGGAUUGAUGUGGCAUGCUGAUUUAAAACAACAUGCGUCUGGUGAUUAUUCAAUUGCGGUUGUUCAAGCUAAUUCUAAUUUAGAAGAUCAAAGUCAGGUUCUUACGUCCUCCUCCGCUACUUAUGUUGGUGUUUAUGAUGGUCAUGGCGGUCCUGAAGCUUCCCGAUUUGUCAAUAAACAUUUGUUUCCUUACAUGCAUAGUGAGAAUUCUCUCCUCUCUCUCUCUCUCUCUCUCUCCCCUCUUGUUUAUUUUUUUUUCUUUUGUUUGUUUUGUUUUUUGUCUUAAUUAGUUGUUUUCUUGAUUGUAAUGAUCAUGAUCACGGUGAUUAUCUUAAACCCUGAAUUUAUUUGUGGUUUUGAUGUCUUAAUCUAUUGGUCCUGUGGUUAAGGACUCAAGGUCCAGUCUUUGUGUGUUUGAGUUUGAAUUCCCAAACCCCAUAUCACAAAUUAUAGAAAGGAAAGAGAGUUUUAUUAUUAUUAUUAUUAUUAUUAUUAUUAAUCAUACGUUAUCUAAUUCUUCAUUUUUUACUAUCUUUUCUUUGGUCACCUUUCCCUUGUUCGUGCUAGUGCAAUAGUAUGUAUUAAUAUCUUUUCCAUUUCAAUAGAAUGAAUCUCGAUGUGAGAGGCUGGAGUUUGCUUUUGUGGGUUUAGUUAUGUUAGUGUUAGGGUGACAAGUUGUAGAAAACCUUGAAAGUUUCUAGCUUUAUUGAAUUGGAGCUUUGUUUGUUUGUGUUUUUAUUGUGUUUUUAUUUGUGGGCCGAUUGGAAAAGAAACUAGAUAAUAUGUGAUAAAAAUAAAAAAUUUGGCUGCCUAAGACGUGGACUAAACUGGCCUCUAUGCAACAGACUUCUUCGUAAUUGUGUCAUUCUCUAUCUAAGAUGUUAGUUUUGAUUGCAGAAUUUGCUACAGAGCAUGGGGGGUUAUCAGCUGACGUGAUAAGGAAGGCAUUUAAUGCAACUGAAGAGGAGUUUUGUCAUUUAGUGAAGCGAUCAUUACCAUGGAAGCCACAAAUUGCUUCUGCUGGAUCAUGUUGUUUGGUUGGAGCUAUUUCAAAUGAUGUGUUAUAUGUUGCGAACCUUGGGGACUCCAGGGUAGUUCUUGGCCGAGGAGUUGAUGAGGAUAAGAAAAAAAAGGUAGUGGCAGAAAGGUUAUCAACUGAUCACAAUGUUGCUGUUGAGGAGGUGAGAAAGGAGGUUCAGGCGCUUCAUCCUGAUGAUUCACAUAUUGUAGUCUAUACUCGUGGAGUUUGGAGGAUUAAGGGCAUUAUACAGGUAAAAUGGCUUCUUGUUGCUGAGCAGCUGGUCUUCUUGUUCCUGUUUUUGCUUGUUAGUUAUGAGAAUUCGGCUGAUUGGGUAUUGUUUGUUUGUGGCAUUAUACAUUCAUUCAUUUAGGUGCCAAAUAUGUUUCUUCAUCCUCUUGAUUGUCUUUCAAUGUCUUGCCAGGUUUAUUUUGAGUUACUUGGAUAACCUCUGUCUUAAAAACACUAUUUUGUAGUGUGUUUGACAUAAAGUAAUUGGUCUGAAGAUGGAUCAAUUCUGAAGGCAUCCAAUUUUAUGUUCGGUUCUCUUAUCUUUAUCUUUUGCUUUAUGAUAGGCAUCUGUCUAUGAUGGAAACACUAUAGUUAAAGUUGGCCUAGGGGUUACAUUCAUACCCUUCCGGGAAUCUUAUGCUCUGCCUCCUGGUCUACCAUUUCAUGCAAUCAAGUGAAGCAGUAUGUCUUCUGAUGCAUGAGAGGUAAAUGAAAACCCCUGAGGCCUAACAAGAAUGCUUAUGUAAUUACCGGAAGUCUUGAUCCUUUUUUUUUCCUUCUAUUUAACUUAUCCGGAGACUAGAAACAUCAUAGUGUGAUGUUCUGGUUGAUGAACUGAACCAUUGUGUUCAUUUGUUACUUGACUCCCUGAAGUUUUGGAGCUGAUUUACUAUCUUAGGCAUGUCGUAGAAGGUGGAAUAAACCUUCCCUGUUUCCUUUUUCCCUUUUCAGGUAUCUAGAUCCAUUGGUGAUGUGUAUCUGAAGAAACCAGAGAUUAACAGGGACCCAAUUUUUCAGCAGUUUGGGAACCCUAUUCCUUUGAAACGGCCAGUAAUGAAUCCAGAACCUUCCAUUCUCAAUAGAAAGUUGAGGCCAGAAGACUUGUUCCUGAUCUUUGCUUCAGAUGGUCUUUGGGAACAAUUGACCGAUGAAGCAGCUGUAGAGAUUGUUUUCAAAAACCCAAGAGCUGUAAGUUCCUGUCUUUGACUUAGAUGUUUCAUUUACUUUUUCUUGCAACUCUUAUUGAUAUUUAAAUCCCGGACCUAAUUUAUACUCUGAGGUUAGGCAAGUUAGGUUUUGAUGGGAUCCUUGGGAAUGAAAAUUGAAUUUCUUUUUCAUAAAACAAGCUUCAUCGAACCCAUGAGAAUGCAGAAUUCAGUUUCAUCUACUCGUAGCAUCUAAACGCACCGUAUUUCUGCUGAACAUGGACAUUGUUUUGGAAAUAGGAUAUUCCUGACAUCUGAACCUUUAAGCAAAUGUUUUGGCAAACAAACUAGAUGUCAUAGAUGUUCAAUUGUCUGGAGUUAUUUGUGCCUGUCCAAAUUUUGUUGCUUGCUUGACAAUUCUCUGGGCUGUUUUGACACCUGCAGGGGAUUGCUAAGAGAUUGGUGAGAGCUGCUAUUCAGGAGGCUGCAAAGAAAAGAGAGAUGAGAUACGAUGACAUAAAGAAAAUAAAAAAGGGAACGCGGCGGCAUUUUCAUGAUGAUAUCACUGUGAUUGUAAUUUAUCUUCAUCACCAAAAAGGUUCCUCCAAUGGUGGACUAAAGAAUAAUGUUGUUGGCUGCACCAGUGCUCCAGUCGACAUUUUCUCCCUUAAUGCAGAUCAAGCAGAGGUGGACUUGCUUCAAACAAUUUCUUGAACAAGGAAAAACCCUUUGAAGGGGUAAACACUGACUUCUUGAUUUCAAGGUAUAUUAAAGGAGAAUACAUUUAUGUAGAUGAAGUUAUAGCGGGUUCUGGUGUUAGCCUUUUCCAAGUAAAUAUAUAACUAUACUUGUUUCAUUCUAUCAAUGACUGGUUAAUUUUUCAGAAAUUGUAGCACCAAUUUUGUGCCUCUUUUGUAAUCCAAAUUUUAGAAAUUACAGGUCAUCAUUGAUUAUUUUUGGGCUUGUAAAAUCUGACAGUUCCGGUAGCCAAUGGUCCAAGGGCAUUUUUACGGUAUAAAUUGCACUGCACUUGCCUUAUUAAAAGCCUCUGACUUCAAGCACUGGCCAUUCUUGAACCAUUGCACAUUAGCAGCACGUGAGGUGAGUUAAGAAGUCAUCACAUGAGCCUCCCUGCCCUGCGCACAGCAUAUAUUUGUCAGUUGCUUCUACCUUCGUAGCUCAAACCUAAAUGAUGCACAACUUUCACACGAGGAAAGAACUUCGAAGUCCUCCAUAAUAGGAAGAAAAAACUACUUCUAUGUUAAAAAUUGCCGAAUUUGAGUUGAAUUGAAGUAACAAAAACAAGCACACCCGUGAUUGUAUAGCAAUACGCAAACGCAGACACGAGCCACCCCUGCAUCCAUGUAGUUGGCUAUGCGUAAGAAAGGGGAUUGUGAGGACUCACUCAAGCAUGGCUCCUUGCAACAAUCAAAAAGAUCGGAUUGGCCUUAGCUUCAGGCUUUAGGUCCCCAUUGAUGAUUAAUGAGAGGAUAUGAUGAUGACAAAAAUGUAAUAUACAUGGAUGAUAUUAAGAUAAAAUAACAUAAAAAGUUUUUUUUUUUUAAAAAAAAAAAGAAUAGAAGGAUAUAGGAAAGCUUUAACCCUUGCGAGACCAUGAUGCAUCCAUCGUUAUUUUUGCUUUGCCCAACUUUGCAUCCUUAAAAAACUCAAGAUUGGGAGGAUUUGAGGUUCUUGAAAAAAAAAAAAAUUAAAAAAACUCCUUGUACUGUAGAGAAACAGUGAUGGCGGCUGAAUUGCUUGGUGGAGCUGAUGUUGGAGCAGUGUUUGGUGAGCUGCUAGAAGCAGUCUUGAAUGAGAUAAACAAAGCCGCGUUCAAGACGAGACUGAGGCAAAUAGAAAAAACUCUACAAUCCAACAGUCCAAUUUUACAAGACAUGGAAAAGUUGAAUCAAGCAUUAAAUCGUAGAAAUGAGGAGACAGAAACAAUAAUAGAAGUAAUCAGGAAAGGCAAGACGCUCGUUGUUGUAUGCUCAAAAACCCGUAGGUAUAAUUGUUGGAGAAGGCAGAAAUACACAGACAAGCUCGUCAAGUUAGAAGAAUCCAGUGCACAAGUUAUUCUUUCAAACUGUUAUGCCAAAGCAAACAGUAAGGGACAGUCAAGAAAUUCUGUUGGAGCUAAGAGGCCAACAGCUCAAGUUCAAAAGGAAAAUUGAUGGACUUGUUGUCUCAUGUACAAUCUCUGGUGAAUGCUGUUGGAUUACAGGUGGCUUUAGGAGAAUUGAAGAUGGAGCUGUUUAAGGAUGGGAUGUCCAUUGCGGUGCUAUCUGCUCCUCCAGGCUGCAGAAAAACAACAUCGGCAAAACUACUUUGUCAUGUGUCAUGUGAAUGCUUUCCUUGUUAUGUAAUAAUCUCUACUAGUUCUUAGUAGCAACUCUCUCGUAUAGUUUUCGGUCUUUGAACAGGAAAAUUCAAGGAUAACAUCUUUUAUAUCACUGUGUCGGGAAAAAAAGAAGGCAUUAUUUAAUUACAAAAGAAAUAUUGUUUUAAUAAUUUUUUUAAGAAAAAUAUUUAAAAAACAAUAUCAAUCAUCGUAUGCAAAAAAAAAUCCCAAGAACCUGACAGCUUCAAAGCAUGAGCCAUGAUUACAGUAUCGAGUUAUUGAAAUAUAUGUAACCUGGUCGGAUGAGCAAAGGCGCAAAAUUAGGAGAAGCCAUAAUGAUAAAGGUAUUAAAUUAAUAUAAAUGAGUCAAUUAGACCUCCUAAGGCAUAACGUGGGUUCGCCCUAGGCCUCAAUUAGUAUCUUCAAUUUUGAUUCAAACCUCCUUUUUAUAACAAAAAUAAAUUUAAUUUAAAAGAUAUACAUAGUAAAAUGUGAAAUGUGUGUUUUGUGAGGUAUUACUGUUCAAUCGUAUUUUAAAAAAAAAUAAUUUUAAAUUAUUUUUGUAUAUUUUUAUAUUGUAAAGUAAAAUAGAAAAUUAUGCAGAUAAAUAGAAGGAUGAGAAAAAGAGAGAAAAAGAAUAUCAAUGAUGAUAUAAUAAUAUUAAAAAUAUAUUUAAAAAUUAUUAUUUUAAUAUAUUUCUAAAUUUAAAACAAUUUUUAAAAAACCCACUUUUAAAUAUAUAAAAUUAAUUAGAAAAUGCAAGGAGAAAUUAGACCAGGUGAGCUCAGAAAGCCCAUUUGUUACCGGGCUCAAGAGUGAAGACUUUCGAAACGAGCAUGGGAUUGGUGACCAAAACAAAGCCUAAAAAAACUCACUAUCACAGAGAAAUUGAACCCGUUGAGGUUGAGCUCAUAAACUUGAAAUUUCUUUUCUUGUUCUUAGAACAAGACUUGAAAUUUCAGAAACAGGACACUCAAGACAAAUGGGAAUCAGUGGAGACCCUCGAACAUUCAGGCAGGUUGUAGUGCAAAAUUAAGGAAGAAGGAAUGAGUGCUAGUAGUUUGGUUGCAGAUACAGUUUGGAAAACCAUUGAAUCAACCCAAUCAGGUCCUCUCUUUCUAUAUCUCAUGCUUUUUAAUAUUUAGUUAUUAAAGUCUUUUAAACCCACCUUCUAUUAAAUGACGCUUAGUGUCUUUUUUUUUCCUUCCGUGGCUAAUGUAAAUGGUGGCAGUGACUGAGGAGCAGCUUUCAAUGUGAGAAGCAUAUAAAAUAGUCACUUUCCAAUUUCCUAGCUUGCUUUUGAUCAAGUUAGUAUUGAUUUGUAAAAGGGUGUAAAUGGGUUGAUUGAUUUUGGGCCUUUUCUUUGUGUGUGUUGUUUGGGUUAAAUGUAGCUUGCAUUUCUUGUUUGGUAAGAAUCUUGAGAGGGCAACAAAGAUAGUGGAUCAGAGAGGUGUCAAAAAGAUCUCUGGUCAGCCCAGCGGUCGUUCCAUCUUUCAGGUUCAAUUCUAUUCUUUGCUAUGCAUUGUACUUUAGACUUCAAAUUUUUGCACAUGGUUGUUCGAGUUUGGAUCUAGGGCCUAAUUCGGGUUUUAAAAUGCAAAUAAAAUUGGUUUAGGUUGAAUUGUUUUGUGAUAAAAUGGCGGGGCGAUAAGCUAGGAACUUCAGUUUAAAUGGAAUAUCUGAUGAGUUUGACUGUUUUGGUGUAAAUUUAUAAAGAGGAAUGUUUGAGCAAUUUAGUUUGGAUUAGCUUACUAAAGAAAGGUUUGAGGAUUAAAAGAGUGCAGUUAAGGUUCUCCCUAUUUGAGAAUAGCUGUAAAAUUUUAGGAUCAAUCAUUUAAGAACUGAUUUGGCAAAUGGGUUUGAGGUGAAAUUGGAUUAUGGUGAAGAAACUUGGUAGUUAGCACUGUGAACAAAUUGUUAAAUAUGUUUCAUUUAAAAAGAUAGAAGUAAAGAUUAAGAUUUGAUCAUUUAAGAACUCAUUUGGUAAAAUAAUUUCUUGUUUGCUGGUGUUGGUAGGUGGUGGGAGAAUCAAGGAGGAAGGAGGAGUAUUUCUGUUUUCCUGAACACUAUUGUGCCUGUUAUUCAUUUUUUUAUGACAUUGUCAACAGAGGAGAACAACUUUGUGUAAGAGCUCUUUUUUUUUUUCCUUAUUUAUCAUUUCAGUUUGUUGAAACCACUUUUCUAUAAUGUUUUAUGAUUAACUCUUUCAUUUCUUGAAUCCAUUUCAGUGUAAGCAUCAAUUAGCUGCAAGACUUGCAGCAGCAUUAGGAGCGUUCAUUGAUGUUAAAGUGUCUGAUGAGCAACUGGCUCUCUUACUCAUCAAACUAUAACAUGUGGAGAUGGAAGGGAUCUGACUUUAAAAAAGAAGAGGUAUGGUCCAAGAGAAUCGUAGCAAAAGUUUUUAUUAAUUUCGUAGGCUUCUGACUUUGGAAGCAACUACCAGCAAUGAAAUUCUACAACCACUUCCAGGAGAUGAAAUAAUACAUCACUAAUUCGGUUGAGCUUUGCAACUUACUGUACCUCAAAAUCUUUCAGAAUUCCAUAAUCAGGUCUACUUCUCAACAAGCGAUGCAAUAUUAGCUUUGAUCCUUUACUGAUGCAACGAUGGCCAUACUCGGAACUCUGGCUCUGGUGCUGCAAACGAUUAUGAACAUUUCAGUCAAGAUCAAACAGGCUUUAGUAUAAUUUAGAUUUAGGAGACUCUGGCACCACAUUUCAUUUCAUUUUGAUCUUGAUUUAUAGAAAGUGCCAUUCCCCGUUGGCAUUCAUGGAUUACAUUAAAUUUUUGUCAUUCUUGUGUUGUCAUUGUAAACUCAAGAAUCUAACUUGUUUCCACGGUUUGAUCUUUUGGUAAUAUUUGCACCUUGACUUGAAAUGAUGCUUAAAAUAUCUUAAAUGUUGCAUGCAUGCUAUCAGGUGCAAUCCUAAAAAGGACAACCAUUGAACUUGCACGAUGUUUAUGCCCCACCAAUGUUGUUUUAUACUCUGUAGUUGUUGUUCCAUUGCAUAUAAUAGAUCUUCACAUCUUUAGUCAUGUUGAGUUUCUUUUUCUUUCAUUUUCAUUAGAUUAGAUGUUCAUGAAAAAUGCAAUGCACAGUGAAUCAUCAAUGCUAUUAAUGAACGGAUCAUUUUUACAUGUUAAGCAAAUAAUGUCUAGCCCCACUUUGAAAAUUGUCUCAAAAGCAUCACUAAUCAGAGACGAUUUGAAUCACUGAUGUUAUCCAUGAACAGUUCAAUGUUACAUGUUCAGCAGAUGUGUAAACGCCACAUUUGAAAUUGUCCCAAAUGCAUGCUAAUGCCAGUUGAUUUGAAUUGUGUUAGUGAUCUGUUGUCUCGGUAGUUCAAUGUUAUGUUCUCCAAUUAUGUAACCCAAAGAGCUAUUUCAACAUUUCAGCCUUCCUGUGGCGUGCGAAGUAAACGAUGGGGUUUGUUGGGAAUGGAAUGGGCCAGGUCUAGACUCUAGCCUGGUAUCGGGGUACAAAACUGCUGACCGAGAAGAAUCUACUUGGUCGUUGUUUCCGGCACCCCCACAAUAGAAAAAUAACUGGUUACAAGCUUGCAAAACAUUAUGAAAAUGUCGUCUUCUCAUCACGUUCUCAAAAACUGGUGUAACCUGGAAGGCUUACAAAAUGUUGGGAUGAACAUCCUUUGAGGAUUUCUGAAAAUGCUUGGCAAAGGCUCUAAAUCCCUUUUGUUUUGUUAAUCAUGUCCCAUUGAACUGCAUCUCCCUUGUCUCAUGUUGCUCUUGCUUUGCCUGUAUUUUGAUGGCUAAAGUGCCAAGUAACACACUGCUCGCUCAUCAGUAUGUCAAUUAAUACAACAACAACAAGGAUUAAAGUUGCGACAGCAGCUAAAAAUAACCACCAACUGGGAUCUGUUUCAGGAAACUAGAUCUCGUAAAUGAACUAGUGUUACUGGAAACAUCAAUGGAAGCCCCUCAUACUUGCUUAUCGUGGCGUAAGCACUCAGAGUCCUCGCCAUAUUCAACAAACAAGCCGGCGAAAACCCAAAUAUAGCUCCAGGCCUAUGAACAGACCAUUUCAAACCCCCCUUCCUCUGAACCUUAUUAAACAAAACAUCCUCUGAUAAAAACUCAAUGAAUUUAGCCUUGGAAGAUCCUCAUGUAAUGGAGGGUCAUGAGAGCUGAACCUUAAACAAGACUCAAAAGAACCCAAAUAAUGCUUGCGUCCUGUUUGCAAGCAAAUGUGCUGCAAGUUUGGAGUGUUUGGGAUUACAGCUUUAAGCACGUUAUGUAAAAUGGUGCUGUUAAAAAUGCAGUUUUCAGCUUCUGUAGACUUGCUAGCCCAGGAAACGUAAAAGAUGUGGGUUACAUCUGUGAGUUUUGAGAGCUUUUCAAUGGGUUUAUGCAUCGUUCAAGACAUCACAUCGGAUUUGGAGGUAUUUAAUUUGGUGAUCGGAUUGCCAGAUUGGCCGUGGACGGCGUGCAACUCUGUAAACUUUCCAGGGACCACCCGGGGUGUCUGCAAGAGGGAGGAUCCCGGCCAAGCUGCUGCUUACAAUGCCUGUGGCACCUAUUAUGAGGGCCACGCUUUGGUACUUUGGUGGUGCAUCACCAUCCUCUUAAGGUUUUUUCCGUUUUAUUUGAUCAAAUAAAAAUUAUUAGCUCGCCUAUAAUUACAUAACAGGAAAUGGAAUAUGAAGAGGAAUAAAUUGAGUUUUUUUAUAAAAAAAAAUGCCUUUGCAGCACCUAUGGCUCCUGCCCACCACCACCUCAUUGUGAUUGUGUUUUCUGAUUUUGCAAAUCAGAGAGAAGGAUGGAGAGAAGUGCUUGCAAGAAGAGGGAGAUUACAGAGUUGAAGAUGAGUAAUUACGUCGUGGAAAUGUGUAAAUGGACCUAAAAAUUCAGUUUAUUUAUUGAAACACCUUGUUUAUAUCAUGGUGCUUCUAUCCUUGUUAUUGGGGUUUUGGUAAUUAGGCAUUUUGUUUACCUUGUACGCUUUAUUAGUUCAUUGUCACAUUGAAAGUUAAACCAUAGAAAAGAGGGAGUUCUGACAACUGUUUCUGGUGUUUGGAGCAUAAAUCAUCAUUGUCAGCCUAACGUGAUCCCUACUUAAAGAGGGUUCUUAUAAUAACUAAACCAUGAAGUUGGAACUAAUACUAUCAUGGCUUGUCUGGACUCAUACUUGAUGAAAUCGACAGCCACAUCAGAUUAUUGCAUCUCUGAAGAAGAUAGGAGCUAAUUUGAGUUGCGAAGGACGCCAUUCAUAUGUGCAGGCAGCGGAAUUGUGGAUGGAUUAGCAUUUGUGUUAAAACUUUUUAGCAAAAUGAGUGAAAUUCAUUACUUGAUUAAAAAUAAUGUAUUUUAUGCUAUUUCUAUCCAACUCUGAAUGACAAGUUAGUAUCAGACCCAGGGAGCUGUCAUCCGACUAUUGUAAUGACCGGUUUUAACUUGGAAUUUUUAGCGUGCAAUCCUGUUAACUCUGAGGUCUAAUGCUAAAUCAUGUCACCAAGGAAGACAGAGACUCUGUUUCUAUGAGCUAAUUACUUUUCUCUAGUGGAUAACCAAGGCAAAAUAUAAUACCUCUAGAUUAGGACCCAGGCCAGCUUGGAAGUUUGAAGUUCAAAAUCCUUUGCUUUAGCAGAGAAAAUCACAGUAAGAAAUGAAAUAUGGUUUUGGCAAUAUUUUAAGCCAGCCAUUAAGCAAGUUGUUUGAAGUAGACAUGAAACCUACGAUGUUGUUCCUAGUAAGGAUGAAUUUUAAGGACUUGUCAUUGAUAAUACAUCAAAUAAAUUACAGGAUGGUGACAAAUGCAUGCAGGAUUGUUUGCUAAUGUACUGAGAUGUGAUUGAAAAUAUGAUUUGUCCUGAUCACAAUUUUAAAAAUGUUUAAUUACUCGAUAUAUAUCAUAGUUUUGCAUAAAUUUCACUAUAAACUCUCUUUUAAAACCUUGGUCAUGCUUGAAGCUACUUUUUCAAACCUUAAUCGUAAAAACUACCACAACAAAACGAGCCAAACACACAAGAAGUUCAACCGGGAAUACAAGGAUGAUGAUAGACAAUUACUCCUAUAUAAGUUUCUCCUCAUUAACAACGUUUCUGUUUUUCAUAAUCAUUCUUGAUGAUAGAACAGUCCAGUGGACCGCUGAAACACACUGUUGGCUUUCAUGUUUCUGGUUUCGAGUAUAACUGAGCUUCACAAAACUAACAAAUGGAGUUCAAAAGCCACAUUAUCGUGAUCUUUAGGGCAUAGCUAUUCAUUAACUCGGCAUUUAUAUAUAGCUUUUUACUUUUUGUUACACCUACAAUAUAUACAUUGUACACACCUUUAGCAACUUUCAGUAUAUAUCGCCAGAAGCCAGAACUUUAUGUAAGAUCACGUAUCAUCAGCUAAGAAAUGGCCAAUUAGCAACUCUCCUGGACAAACCAUUCAUUCAUCCUUCUUUCUUUACCACAUAGUUCGAAGCUCAAGAACCUAACAACAAUACAUGAAAAAUCACAUCUUAGCAAUGAAAAUUAAAGGCCACCUUUCCAAUGACAGUAAAAUUUUGUCAAAAUAAAUAACUCCUUCAUACUCAGGAAAAGGUUAAGAUAGGGUGAGGCCAGGAAAUGCUUUGGCAAGAGAUUCAAAACUAAGUUCAACUAACAAAACAAUACUUUUAAUCUAUAUGGCCCAUAAGAACAAAAUGAGGAUAUCCAUCCCAAUUCCAUAGUUACAGAGAAACAAUUUUCUUCUCAAGUAAAUAUAAUAAAAAUGCCAUCUUUUACAUUAAGAGAAUCAAAUUAUUAAUCACAAUGAUGACACGUUGCAGAGAAAAUUUUCAAAAUUUUGAUUCUCAUAACCACCAAAUGCUAAUGGUACAAAAUGAUUCACAUUUGAUAGAGGUACUCAUACCUUGAAGUCAAUAACUCCCCUUUCCCCUUCUUUUCAUGUCUUGUCUGGAUCCAAGCACUGCCCUCCAAAUAGAUGUGUUCCUGAGUGCUUGCAUCUCUUCAGCCUCUAGGAAACAUUAGGAAGCUUUUGCUGGAUCAUCCAUAUCAACCACAUCUUCAUGCCUAAUCAAAACAUGAGACGGAUAAGAAAGGGAUUGCCUAUGACCAUUUGGUUAAACGUUCUAAUAACCUGCACUCGUCCUCCCUGGAAAUGUGUGGAUCAAGCUCAUGAAGGCUGCUUAUGAACUUGAUUGCAUCAUCCCGGCGAUUAAGUUUACAGUAUCCAUCAAUGACUGAGUUGUAUGUAUUCUGGUUCGGUUUACAUCCAUGCUUGAUCAUGUAGCAAACAACAUCAAUAGCCUCCUCAAACAUUGAAUCAGCUGCAUAACUUGCAACAAAAGUAUUAUAUGUGAUUACAUCUGGAAUAAGCCCAGAUUCUCUCAUUUCUGAGAAUAUAUGUGAAGCCUCUUUCAUCCGCCCAUUUCGGCAAUACGCAAAAAUUACGGUGUUGUAUGAAAUUAUAUCUGGUUUUAUUCCCUUUGCAAGGAUUUCUUUUAAAACUUCUUCUGACCUCUCAAAGUUCUCUGAUUGGCUGUGCAUAUACAUCAAACUAUUGUAAGUUGCCAAGCUAGGAGUGAACCCACUCUCUUUCAUGAAGUUCAAGAUCUCAUUUGUUUUGGUUACCAUCUGCCUCCUGCCGUAAAUAGCAAUCAUGGCAUUCAGAGUACUCAAGUCAGGUGAAAAGCCUUUUCUCUUCAACUCCAGGAAUGCACGCUCAGCUUCUAAUAGGAGGUCACAUUUACUAUUAACUAAAACAAGGGUCUUCAAGAGCACAGCAUGAGGUUCAAUUACACCAGAGCAUAUCUCCUCCGCAAGAGCAAGCAUCCGUCCAAUCUCCUUGCCAUUGGCAUAAGCAUGAAGCAAAGAACAGUGUGUCAGUUCAUUGGGCUUGCACAUACCAUCUUGCAUUUCAGCAAGUAUUUUCUCUGACUGUUCCCAUAGCCCUCCUCGAGCUAAUGCUGCCAAAACAGCAUUAUAGGUGGAAAGAUCAGGUGUGAUCCCAGUAUCCAGCAUUCUCUUGUACAUAGCCAUGGCUUGGUCAAAUGAACCACACCGACUGUACGCACUGAUUAGGGUGUUGUAGGUAUCCCUCUCCGGUACAAAGCCAACCCUCUUCAUCUCCUUGAAAACUCCAGACACUUCUGAGUCCAUCCCAUUUUGCCCAAACACUGCUAGAAGGGUAUUCCAAGUAACAAUAUCAGGUACACAGCAGCAAAUUUUGAUCUCCUCAAAAACCUUCAUCAUUUCUGCAAACUUUCCCCUGUUACCAUGCAUCUUAAUCAAGGCAUUGAAAGUACAAAUAUUAGGUUUGCAACCUGCAGUUCUCAUUUCCUCAAAAACCCUCAUUGCAGACUCAUCCUUACCAGUCCUCACAAAUCCUGACAACAUUGCAGUGUAAGUAAAAACAUCCAGUUUAAUCCCUCUUUCAACCAUCUGGUUUUUAAGCUCCAUUGCUUCUUCCAACAGACCAUCCCUUGCAUAAGCAGAUAUCAACGAAUUAUAUGUCACAAUGCUUGGUGAACAUCCAUUGACCUCCAUUUCUCUUAAUACCUCGAUCGCCUCCUUAAUCCGCCUAGACUUCCCAUAAACAUCCAAUAAAGUAUUAUAAGUGACCUUAUCAGGCACAAACCCCAUCGAUUUCAUAUCCUCAAAAACCGCAGCAGCUUCUUCAUACAAAGAUCCUCGUCUACAACAGGUUAUCAGCGUAUUAUAUGUAUACUCAUCCGGCAAAAUCCCAGCAUUCUUCAUUCCCUCAAACAGACCUGUAAUCUUGUUCCAAGGCAUACCCAUUUUUCCAUACACAUUCAGAAUCACAUUAUAAGUAAUCAAAGUUGGUUUGCACCCUUCUUCCUCCAUCUUCUUAAAAACCAUCACAGCUUCCCUAUACCUCCCAUUACUAACACAAGCAGUUAUUAAAGAUGUAUACGCAUAAACAUCAGGUUCAAACCCAUCUUUAUGCAAAUUAUUCAACAAAGAUGCUGCCACCGAAACUUUUCCUUCUUUACCAAGCAUAUUAAUAAUCACAGCCACAGCUGAAUUACUCAAGACAGAUUCAUAACCAUUCCUAUUCUUAAACCACUCAAACACACUCAUAGCCAGGUCACUUUUUUUAUAAAACCCUAAACCCUUAAUAAUACCCAAAACAUCAUUACUUAACCUCUCCUUACCACCACUACAUACACUCAACUCUUCUUUAUAGUAAUCAAAUAAAAGACUCAAGAUUUUAUCUAAUUCACUGGUUUCGAAAGAAGGGUCAUUUAAAGAAUCUAGAACUCGCUGACCUUGAAGGGAGAGACGACGGUGGGUCCAGGGUUUGCCACGGUUAGGGUCACAGGCCUUGCCAAUUCGGGUUCGGUUUCUUGGGAUAGGAAAUAGAUCAGGUUGGGUUUGCGGGUUGAUGGGUUUGGAAAGAUUGGGGCUUUGCUUGAAAAGGAAGUCCUGCAUAGGUGGGGUGCCAUGUUGUGGUGGUGGUGAAGUGGGUGUUGUUAGUUUUAGCUGUUGUUGAUGGAGGUGAGAUUGGAGAGGCAGUAAGAGUUUUGUUGGAGGUGGGUUUGUGAGGAGAAGAGGGAGAGCUAGUUUCUCUGUCAUUUUUUAGAGUGAGAGGUUUUAGGAGGGCUUUGGGCGGGUUUAAGGAUUAUAAGUUGGUUUCUUUAGUUGAGUUUGUGUGGUGUUUUGACUUAAGAAAGGAGAGAUUUUUCUGUGUGGUGUUUCAAGUUGAGAUUCUUAGAGAGGGGAUGUUUGAGAGGGGAGGAGGGUUUCAAUCCUACGUGGUGAGUGAGUAGUGGAGAUUGCCAUGGUAGCAGACAAGAAUCUCUGGCGAACAGAUAGAGCUUGCCAUGUCAGCAAAAGGUGACUCUCUGCUUCGGAGGAGAGAAGAAAUUGACAAACUAGAACUAAACAUUAUGAUUGAAAUUUUUCUAAGGAGUUGAAAGAGGAAUUGUUGCGGAUUAAAAAAAUAUGAGUUUGUUUAAGAUUGAUUUGAUGAAUUUUUUCAUGUAAAAUAAAUAAAUAAAUAAAUUUAUAUAAAUAAAAAUAUAUUAUUUUAAUUUAAACAAAAUUAAUAUUUAAAAUACAAUUAUAUAUAGAAUCCAUAUAAAAAACAAAAAUUAUUUGAGUAACUAAAUUAAAGCUACCAUAACAUCAAACUCUCUACGGGAAUUUCGAGUUAAAAAGUCUCUCUCCAAUCUUGCGGAGUUCAAAAGCUAAUGCCGUACAUGUGGUGAUAUGGAAUUAGCUGAUCUAAUUUGUGUUUCCCGUUGCAGGAAUGACUGUGUAAAGAUUCCAUAGAAAAUUAGGAGACCCAGAAGCGAGGAUUAGAUUAGAACUGUGUUCCACUCUUUCUUGUUUCUGCAACCAAAUAUUCUUCAAUAAAGUUCCCUUUUCUGCAAUUACUAGUUUUUGCCCUCACGCACUCCCAUUCUUGGGGAGUUCUGUGCAAGAACUCGUUAUGAGUCCAACUCCAGAGACGCUCAAUUGCCAACAAUCAUUUCAACAACUCUAUUUCGUAAUUAAGGUAGGUAAGUGCAGGCAAGGGGCGGCUUAAUACGACUGCUGCCAUGAUCAUUUGAGAUAAGUUUUUCAGUUAGAUCAAAACUAUCUAAAAUCAUACCAAGAGCCUGUUUUAUGCAGCAUGUACCCAAUAUGAAAAUAUUGCCAGAACCACAACUACAUACAAGAUUCAAUCAAAAUUUGAGAUUCAUCAACAGAAGCAUAAACUGGCAGAAAGUUAUAAUAUCAUCUUGAAAAUCGUACUAUGUAAGGAAUCCAUAAGCAAAAUUCUUAACAAAGCUAGUUCUGCAUGUAAGUACUGCUAAUUAAGACUAAAAACACAAGCCGCCGAAAGCACCAGGCAUAAUUUUGACUAUUAUCGUCAACAAAAAAGAUAGCCCUGCCACGGGAAAGAUGACCACGAAGACUGGAUCCAUAAUCUUGAACUUCAUUUGAGGAAAUGAGGACUAAUCAACCCAGCAAUCUCAAGAAAUCCAACCUGGUCUCUACCAGCAAAUAUCUUCUUCAACUUCUCGUCACAAAUUAUGUUCUUCUUGUUACUAGGGUCCUAAAAAAACGCAGCAAGUCCAGUCAGCUCCAAAUUAAUGAGAUAACCAUAUAUGCGUACACCAUGGAUGUUCUAUGCAAUGGCUCAGAAACAGCUAGAAAAACAAACACCAGAUUCAUGCAAAAAUGACGAACUAGAGGAGCAAUAAUACUGCAGUUCAAGAAAAGAGUUAGCACCAAAUUAGUAAAUACACCACUCAACAAAUAAAGGGAAGUGACCGCACCAGCAGAUGGACUAACAAAUGUUCUAAAGGGUGAAGUAAAACGGUAAUUAAGUGAACAUUGUAUCCAUUACUCAAACACCAAUCAUGCUUUUUGUUUCAACCAAAUUAUUCAGCUGGAAGCUAACCCUAAUAGUGAAGGACGAUAGCUGCUUGGAAAUGACAAGCCAACAGCCAGUCUUCGUGUUGAACCUCGCAAUUUUGUAAGCGCUGCCUCGCAUUUUCAGGUUAGUAAAAUCCAGUACCUCUAAUUAAGCCACAUUCAUAUAAACAUACUGCAUGUGGUCGUAUCAACAAAGCAGUGCAUACCACAUUCAUGUAUUACAAAUUUGAAAUUAUUCUGAAUUGUUUCUCAAACUUGAACUACCUACAAAAUCAUGUCUCAGCCAAAAUUCUAUAUAAAAUCAUGUCUCAACCAAAAUUCUAGUGAUGAAAUCUAUCCCUAACAUGAGAGACACCUUGUUCAUACAUCAACGAAUUCACAGCAAUAAUGAUCAGGCCAUGCAAGAAUAAAAAACUACAUCGAACAAACAUAUCCAAGUAUAACACCAUUCAAUUAAUUACAUGAGCAGCAAACAAACAAUACCCAAGAACCCACAAUUAUCCAGCAGCCUCAUAACAUUAUCCAAACCCACAAAAGAAGCAACGCGUAAAACAUAUUACAUUUUCAGAACUAAAAUACAAUAACCGCAUAACCCACACUUAAAAAACUCAUAAAAGUAAAAAAAAAAAAUAAUAAUAAUAAUAAUAAUAAUAACAGCACCAGAAGCAGAACUGGAACAUUUCGCUGACACCAGCACAACCUUAUCCACAAACAUGACAUGUCUCCAGCUAAUCAAUUAAAUAAUCAACAGCAUAAAAACCCAUGAAUAAAAAACAACCACAUUUUACCGUUCCAAAACAACCUUAUCCAAACGUUUAACUAAAAACUAAGCACAGGAAAUGACAGGAACCCAAGAUUUUAGAACAAAAUGUAGACUUCUAAUAAAAAUUAUACCUGAAGAUUGUGCUCCUUGAUAUGGGCCCAUAUAAGCUUGAGAGCCUGAGUACGAGAGACCUCAGGAGCACCAAUAAAGUCCGCCAUUUCAGGUGAGACUCGCCUCGGCUUCAUUAUGCCGCGUGGAGCACGGUUUCCGGUCGAUGCCGUGGCGCAGGUAACUACAGUACUACGCACCAUGCGCGGGUUCGCGGGAGGCGCAGCCAGAAACCUGAGAGGAAGAGUGGAUGUAGGAGAAGGAAACUUGAGAAGCGGCACCGUUUCGGUGGAUAGGAAAGUAGAGAAAAUCCCUGAAGAAAUUGCCAUUUGAAAAAAGAAAAAAACUCGAGAAUUUUGUGUUUCUGAGAGAGGGGGAGGGUUUUGAAUUAGCUUGAUUUUUUUUUUUUUCCUUUUAAAUUUUGGUGUUUUGAGAGAAUGCGAAGAGAGAUAAGGGUUUUUUGGGUUUUGUGCGAGUGAGAAACACAGAAUUUGUCUGAUCCCGCCUUAAUCCUGGCGUACUAUUCUUUAACUUUUUCACGAUUUUUUAAAUACUUGAAUGCCCCUGCCUGGGUCAAGCACUAUAAAAAAAACAGAUCGUUCGAUUUUUGUUGGGUCAAGAGUGUCCUGGUGUUUGAGGACAGACAUCCACCAGAAAUUUGGGCAGUUUGAGGAUGGGGAUGGAGGAGUUGGGUUGGGCUAAAGGAGAAAUAGAAAAGGCCAAUAUAUACAAUGGUAGACCUGGGAAUAAGUAGUGGAUCUGGGUUUCAGAAUUAGGUUUUAGCUUUCAUUUCAUUCUCUGACAUGGGCUUUAGGUGACGGAGGUGUGGUUGAGGGUUUUGGCAAAGGAUAGAUGUGCCACCGGCAAAGUCCAUGAUGCAAAUGUUCUAACAUCUGACAUUUCACGACAAGAGACAGAGACAACAACGAUGAUAAGAGUCUCGCGGUCAAAUUAACUACUUACAUAUUUACAUGCACAGAGAUACCGUGUAAAAUUAUCUAAUAUUAACUAGGAUAGGAUAUUGAUAAACUGAUUAGGUUUUAGAUUUAUUAUAUAAAAAUUAUUAGUUUAAGUUUUAUAAAUUUUAUAGUUUGGAGAUUUAUAUAAUUAUUAAUUUUAGAAUUCAUGGAAUUAGUUAAGAUUCGCGCAAACUAAUCCGAAUACUCAUGUUAAUAAAAAAAAAUUACCCAAUAUUCUAUUAUAUUUCUUUCUUUUCCAUAUAAUGAUACUAGUGAAAUUUCAUUACGUAAUAAUUAUUCGUUAACCCUACUUAGACAUGAAGGGGAAAAAGCAUAUAAAAUAAAAGUAUUGAAUUAUUGUUUGGACAGCGUUGUCUGAUAAAAAGAGUAGAAUCUCUUUUUCCCGUAAUAAUUGUCUUGAGAAGUCAAAUUGUGUGGCUUUUUUUUAUUUUGUCCGAGAAUAUAAUUUAUCUUUCCCCAGGGACAAGCUCUGCUAGCUAUCUUGAACUGUUAAUGCCUCAUUCUCUUUGACAGAACAUCCAUCCAAGACCCUCUGCAUGCCUGCUAACCAGCUCUCAAGAAUUGAUAAAAUUAAGCCAAUUGACGAGAAAGGCUCGUUGAUGCCGUCGUCUGGCCUGGAUGUAUCGCGUCGCAUUUUAGCCAAAUUGAUCAAAAUUAAAACACAUGGCACCAAUUAACUUUCUAGCACAAAUACAACAGCUAAAAAAAAGGGUAUUUCUCUCUAAUAAAUGUAUGGUUUUCUUUUCUUUUCUUUUCUUCUCAUAAAAGGGAAAGGCCUGUCCACGACGAAAGUGGAAUAUACUGUUACAACUUUAAUAUAGUGAUGAAGCCAAACCAAAAUGCAGUCCCUCCAUGCAUGAUUAGUGUUGUUAUGGUCCGACUAUUUGCCCUAGCUAGUAAAACCUUUCCCGGCUUGCAGUUGAAACCACGUUAUCAUAAAGGCAGCCUAGGAUUAAUUAAGAGGUAGGAAGGAGGUCAAUUUAACCUCAAGGAAAAGAAACUAAAGGGCCAACAAGAGGAGGAUAGCAAGUUACAAUCAUUCACAUUGCAGGAAAUGAUCGUUAAACUAACUUGCCCCCCCCCCCCACAGUCCACGUUCCCUUUUACUUUACUCUCGUUUACAUGGACUUUGGACCUACCUUUUGUAUGAUUUGUCCUCAUGAACCGUACCUCUUAUAUAUAGUAAUGUUUCAAUUCGAUCGGACCAGGAAAAUCAAGAUUCCAGAGAGUAAUCUUGUUCGAUAAUUAUCGUGUAAAAUGCGAGAGGAAACGUGUAUGUUAACAACUGAAAGGUACUCUAAAAAAAAUGGGGGUGUUGUUGUGGAUUGAAUUAUGGAGGGAGUUGAGAAGGCAAAUCCUUGACAGGCGUUAUAAUGGCACUGUGAUACAUGUGGACAAUGCUAAGAUAAAGGAUUGAAGAAGAAGCCAUUAAUUGUCACAUUGUUUAACAUGGAUUGGAAGGGCUAGGCACUGGCUAUAUAUCAAUUUCAGUUUCUAUGGAAUGCCCAGUCAGUCGGUGCUUUUUUUGCGUUGAGAAUAAUCAACCACCUAAAUUUCUGCUUUCAUCACUGCAUAAGUGGAAGAAUCCUCUCUCUCUCUCUUUUUGCGUGGGAUUUCUUUUUUUCUCUUUAUAUUUCUUUUUGUUUUUUGUCUAAGUGAUGUCUCUAAUUGAUUGAUUUUCACGUAUGGAUCAAUUAUGUCAAGAUUUAAAGAUUCGUGAAAACUUUACUCCUCGCAAUCUAAGUAAUCUUACCUGAUUUUGAACUUUUAAAAACUGGAAAUUAAACAGUGUAAUUAUUAAUCGUUUGACCAGUUCCUCAAUGUCAAAUAUGCAAAUACAAUGAAAUUCUCCGACCAUCAAUCUCCAAACAAAAAAGAAACAUACAACGAAAAGGACUAUAAGCCUAUAAUUAAACGCUUGUUGAGAAAGAUAACUGCAAACCUACAGGGACCUCGGUGAUGGAGAUGGAGAUGGUGAUGGUGAUAGGUCAAUAAAAACAGAACCCUUGAUUAAGCUAUUAGUAAUCAUAAUACUGCAGAGGAGUUUCUUGGGGUCUUAUGAAAACGAACAUCUUAAUUCUUUCAUCUUUAUACCAAAAAAAAGAAGAAGAAAAAGGAAAGAAAAUCUAACGGAGGAUUGGAUUAUAAGCAAAGGUCAUCCAUCUACCAUUUCCUUUCCAAAUUCUAACCAGUCUGGAUGAGACACGUGAACCCAGUUUAAUGAUCCCUCACACUCAACAAGCUUAUUAGGAGUUAGGACCACCCAAAAAAAAAAAAAAAAACAGUAUCUUUUACUGGUAGAACUGGUUGCAGGCUCACGGCAACACAUGUAGCUGGAACUCGUUGGAAAUUUUACUCGUUAUCAUCGUUUUUUUCUGCAUAAUUUUCAUGUCUCCAGGCCUAAUUUUGUAUUUAUUAUUCAAACUCAACGACGAACUGGCAAGGAUUAUUUAGCCUCCAGGCUCCCUAAAGAGCGCCUGUCACGGCGAGACAGCUAGCACAGCAAGGGCCACCACACAAUGGCGGUGCUCCAACAUACCAACUAAAAUUUGGCAGAUUAUAGCCAAAACUUAAGCGUAAAAUAUACAUCUGCCAGUGCCAAUCCAAUGGCAAUGUUAUGAUUAAGGGCCAGCUCAUAUGAGGGCAUGGCCCACUGAUCAUAAUCCUCCUGUUGCUUAUUCGGUAAAAAGGAUCGCUCAUUAUUCUUGACUAGUAGAAUACCUCUCAUUUUCACAGUUGUCGAGUUGGAUUUGAAGAUUAAUUCAAGAAAUGCGAGUCAAUUCAUGUAUUAGUGAAUUAAUAAUAUGAUAUAUUAAAAACAAUCCAACAUAUUGAAUUUAUAUACAUAUAUAUUUUAAUUUCAACAUAAUUCUUAACAUUGAUUUUAACACAAUUCUUAAUUAAUUGAAAAGGGCAAAGAUUUAAAGACUUGAAACUUGACUUAACAAGUAUUAAUUAAAAUAUUUAAAAUAUAAAUCAAACUUAAAAUCUUAAACAUUUAUAUGACAAUCAUAAUUAAAAAAAUGCAAGUUCUUUCACCCAUGCAUAAUAAAAUUUGAUUGUAUGAACAAGACUAGGAAUUCUCGAUGUGCCUGAUUUAUUUAGUUUAUUUUCAUUUAAAAUUGAAGAAAGAUUUAUUUUAUUGAGUUUUUUUUAUUUAAUCUGAACUAUUGAAACCGAUAUUGAGCUCUACAUUCGCUAGUGGUUGACAAAUGCAUGGCCAUUUUUAAGGACAAAAGAAAAUCAUUCCAACAAAAUCAUUAAUAAUCAUGAUUUUUUGAAUCAUGUUAAUGUCCGACGACUCUACCAUUUUCACUCCUCCCACAGAGAGAGGACAACCCCCUAAGCUAACCCAUAUUCAUCAUUAAUACACAACUUAAAGAGUAACUAACAAUUCUUCUUCUUCUUUUUUUUUUAAGGAAAAAAAAGCUGGCUGACUGCUACUAACGUGUCACCCAGAUCUCAUAUCCAAAUCACAUGCAUUGCUGGUCCCACAUCAAACAACAUAAUCGACGCCUCAGAUCUGUUUGGUAGCUCAUUGGCCCCACCAAUACCUCUCGAACUUCCGAACCUUCUUCCUUCUACUCUAUUUAUAAUCCUCCCUUCCUUUCUUUAUUUCCUCACUGAUCAGGACUGCACGCAAAGAGCAGAGAGAGAGAGAGAGUAUCAAAACUAGCAAAAAAUGAUGCUAAAAAAAGCUGUCAUCCUUCUUUCUUUGAUCUGCAUUUCGAUUGCUGGUGUUUCUGGUCAAGCACCAGCAACGUCACCAACAGCAACACCAGCACCACCCACACCAACUUCUUCUCCACCGCCAGCAACCACUCCUCCACCAGUUUCAGCCCCACCUCCUGUUACCCAAUCUCCACCUCCAGCUACCCCUCCUCCAGUUUCAGCCCCACCACCUGCCACCCCUCCUCCCGCAACCCCACCACCAGCAACUCCUCCUCCCGCCACCCCACCACCAGCAACCCCACCACCUGCUACUCCUCCACCAGCAACCCCUCCUCCCGCUGUUCCUCCACCAGCUCCAUUGGCAGCUCCACCAGCUCUUGUUCCAGCUCCAGCUCCCAGCAAGCCUAAGUUGAAGUCUCCAGCUCCAUCUCCCCUGGCAUUGAGUCCUCCAUCUCCACCAACUGGCGCUCCUGCUCCAAGUUUGGGUGCUUCCUCUC